ACAACACCGGUUUCCUGAAUGCCUGUGUCAGCUUUUUGGUGACAAGAAAGGAUGAAUAAGACACGAGUAUGGUUUAAAGUGCAGCGAGAGACAGAAUAGUAAAUUUACAAAGGCAGAAAUGAAAAGCAGAAAGCGAAGACGAUAUAGGAAUUUACCAGCUAGACAGAAGAGACAGGGAAAGAAACUGGCAUUGAACAUACUGAAUGUCAUCACGAAGGAGGUUUGAGAUACUGCUUUUUCCUCCCUGUGAAGUCCUGAGUCCGUGGAAAGGCCGAGGGGAGAACCAUCGGCAGCAACAUGGCAGCUCUAUUAGUGAUGGAAACUGGAUUGGGAAAUGCAAUAUCACAUCUGUCACCUAGAGGUUUUACCAACAAUAUUUCGGCCUAGAAUUCAAUGUACUGUGCCUACCCCACUCUGGCCGAGUGGGACAGUUGAAGCUUCCCGGAAAGGAAGAAGCUAUGGUUGCCCAGUGGAAAGCAGAUCACAGUGGAUACUUCCUGCAGUCAGUCAAGCUUCUGGAGAGGAGGCAGAGGCUGUUGACACAGUCUUACAGACUAGGACUCCAAGAAUCAGCCAGAUGAACGCUAUGUCCCGAGUCUUCACUUCCCAGCUCAGUGGUGGACAGCAGAGGACUGUAAGAAACACAUCAAGAACCUGUGAUGUUUAUCAAACAAGGGAAAAUCUGUCUUUGAAAGAGCAAUUAGGUUGGUUCCCUGGGGUUCCAAAAGUCAGAGAAGGGACCAAUUGA
rnacentral:lncRNA from 1 species